CAAAUCCUGAUGUGUUCGUCGGAUCAAUGACGUUUUGACCGAACACCAUUAACAUCGGGAGCCCAGUGUUCCUACAUGGUGUGCAAGCCACUUUACUUAGGAAGCGAAUGUGGAAGUAUGAAGUGUAGGACAGGGCACCCACCUGCCUUGAGCGGGAUCAAAACUUCAUCACUACGACGGCACAAUUGGGAUUUCG
rnacentral:other from 1 species